rnacentral:rRNA from 1 species
AACGAACGCUGGCGGCGUGCCUAAUACAUGCAAGUAGAACGGUGAAGGAGGAGCUUGCUUCUCUGGAUGAGUUGCGAACGGGUGAGUAACGCGUAGGUAACCUGCCUGGUAGCGGGGGAUAACUAUUGGAAACGAUAGCUAAUACCGCAUAGGAGUAGAUGUCGCAUGACAUUUGCUUAAAAGGUGCAAUUGCAUCACUACCAGAUGGACCCGCGUUGUAUUAGCUAGGUGGGGGGGUAACGGCUCACCAAGGGAACGAUACAGAGCCGGGCUGAGAGGGUGAACGGGCAAACUUGGAACGGGAACCGGGCCAGAACUCUAAGGGGGGGAGGAGGAGGGAAAUUUCGGACAAGGAGGGAAGUCCUACUGCAGAAAUCCGGGGGAGGGAAGAAGGGUCUCGGAUUGGAAAGGUCUGUUGGAAGGGAAGAAAGAGUGUGAGAGUAGAAAGUUCACACUGUGACGGUAUCUUAAGAGAAAGCAACGGCUAACUACGUG